UAGGGAAUCUUCCGCAAUGGGCGAAAGCUUGACGGAGCAACGCCGCGUGAGUGAUGAAGGUCUUCGGAUCGUAAAACUCUGUUAUUAGGGAAGAACAAAUGUGUAAGUAACUAUGCACGUCUUGACGGUACCUAAUCAGAAAGCCACGGCUAACUACGUGCCAGCAGCCGCGGUAAUACGUAGGUGGCAAGCGUUAUCCGGAAUUAUUGGGCGUAAAGCGCGCGUAGGCGGUUUUUUAAGUCUGAUGUGAAAGCCCACGGCUCAACCGUGGAGGGUCAUUGGAAACUGGAAAACUUGAGUGCAGAAGAGGAAAGUGGAAUUCCAUGUGUAGCGGUGAAAUGCGCAGAGAUAUGGAGGAACACCAGUGACGAAGGCGACUUUCUGGUCUGUAACUGACGCUGAUGUGCGAAAGCGUGGGGAUCAAACAGG
rnacentral:rRNA from 1 species